rnacentral:lncRNA from 1 species
GAGGAGCUUUCUGAAUCAUAAAUCAUGAUCGAUUCAUCAUUUGGAGGAGCUUUCUGAUGAAGAGGUUGACUCACUCAAUCUUCUGAUCAAGUUAGACUUCCUCGACCUCCUGAUAAGGUGGACUUCCUUAGAUUUUCUCCUCGAAUUUUCCUCCUUGGCUUUGUCAGCCUUCUCAGAUUUUCUCCUCGACUUUGUCAGCCUUUCAUUCGAUGAAACUAGAAGUCUGAGGACUCGACCCUCUAUCCUGGCUACUUCGGUUUGGCUGAUGCUGGCAGCUAAUCCAGCCCCUCACGAGAGGCUUUGCCAAACUCGAUAUCGCAGGCCUCAAGAAAGUGGGACUCGACGACAUCUUUGCUCCCGCACCUUAGAUUUCAUCAAGGUGACCUCAGAUCUCAUUGAGGCUUUUGUCUACAUACCUCAAAUUUUGUCAAGGUGAUCUCAGAUCUCGUCUAGGAUUUUAUUUGUGCUACACCUUGGACCUCGUCAAGAUGACCUAGGAUCUUGUCGAGGCUUUUUUUUGUUGCACCUUGGAUCUCGUCAAGGUAACCUCGGUUCUUACCGAGGAUUUUUGCUAUUGCACCUUGGAUCUUGUCAAGGUGACCUCGCUUCUUACCAAGGAUUUUUGCUAUUGCAUCUCGAAUCUUAUCGAGGUGACCUCAGUUCUUACCAAGGAUUUUGGCUAUUGCAUUGCAUCUCGGAUCUUAUCGAGGUGACCUCAGUUCUUACCAAGGGUUUUGGCUAUUGCACCUUGGAUCUUAUCAAGGUGAUCUCUAUUCUUACUAAGGGUUUUUGCUAUGGCACCUUGGAUCUUGUCAAGGUGAUCUCGGAUCUGGUUGAGAAUGUUUUGCUGUUGCACCUUGGAUCUUGUCAAAGUGACCUCCGAUCUGAUCCAAAGUUUUUGUUGUUGCAUCUUGGAUCUUGUCAAGAUGACCUCAGAUCUCAUUGAGGGUUUUUGCUCCCCAUUGAAAAGUGAAGUCUUCAUCAUUGGCCUGCACACACAAGAUGAGAGAAUUCGUCGAACCAGCUCUGGCUGGACUUUCUGACUCUCAAGCUAAGCUAAGCUUUAAAGUAAGGAAUAUUAGACUUGUAUUACCACAUUUUAGCCGAUUUGUUUCACUUUAGCCUUUGGAGCUUGGCUUUAAGGAGUUGAACUUUGGAGGUCGACUUUGGAGAGUUGGCGACCUUAGUUUUGAUCUCCAUUGUGGCCUCAUUUUUGGCUUCGAUCUGAAGCCUUCGGGGUCUUUCAUGCAUAGUGAAAGCUCAGUCGCUCACCGAGGAGCGACCUCAGUUUGAUCAUUAUGACCUUGCCUCAACUUAAGUGCUCAAGGACUUAUUGCUCAAAAAGAAAAUAAGACAGUGAAUGGGACUUGAGAGCCUCUUAUCUUGAAAGUUUUAUACGGAUCUUUUGAAGCUUGUUUCCUCUUUCGAUCUGAAUUACAUGGCCACCAUUGGUGCGGGUUUCUAUCUGAUAUCAGAACUGCUGGAGUCGAUAGUGCAUCGUACCACUGGAGGUGAGACUGUCAUGCACUAGCUGUUGCUGAGCAGGCCAUUGAUUUUAGAUCGUAGUGCUCAGAGAGCAGUAGUUGGUCAAUCGUGAGUUGGUCGUGAGGCUGAAAGAAUGUCUAAUGAAGGAUUAGCUGACUAAGGGUUGGUCGCUUGAUGCCGUCAUCAAAGGAGGGAUCCAUAAAUGGAGUGUCAGGGAGAGGCCAUCCCUAUCACCUCUAGUCAUAUGAUACCAUCUUGUCCCAUUAGAAAUUUUUUGCUCCCUAUUGAAUGUCCUCAAGAGCCAUGCUUGGCCUUCCAACUUUGUUUCUUC